UGCACACUCCUUAGAUCCGCCUCCGGGGUUCAUUGUUCUUAGGAGCAAUGGUCCCACUGACUUUACCGGUUGGAUAUCGGUGGUGAAUGAGUCAUAAGUGUGCUAGAGAAUUAACUUGCAGUUCUGGACAUGUUGUAGAAUCUAUAAUUCUAUGUAAUCCAGUUGGGCGAACACC